UUUGUGUGUGUGUAUAUAUUCAAUUGCUUAAAUUUCUAGCUUAAAUUGUUAAUUUGUGCUGGAUUUUGAACUUGGUUAUCUUGUACAUUCUGGUUUGAUUUGAGCUUAAAUUAUUGGUUGAUUUUUCUAUUUGGAUUUUGGAUGAAAAAUAGUAAGUAAAGCUUGAAUUUUUUAGGUUCUAUGUGGAAAGAUUAAGUCCUGGAAUUUGAUCUAGAUCUUGAAUUUCUAUAGCUAAGGAUUUAUUGCAUUAUUCAGAUCUACUCACUCGAUGAUGAUUUUGGGUUUUAAUGAUAGUUCAGAAUGGAAGUAUUCAGGGCUUUAGAUUGUGAAUUUUGAAUCUUUUAAGGAUGAUAAAAAGAUCUUUCGGUACUAUUCUUUAUAGCCAAAUUCUUCAGAUUAGAUUGAUGUUAUUUAUACAUUAGUGACUUGAUGUGAGAAUUCGUGUGCUUUGUAUCGCCAAUGUGCUAUUAGUAAUGUCUUUGAUUGUGUUUGCAAUGCCUUUUUCAUGUGGAGCUUCAAACCAUUUAUGCAAAAAGAACCUGCAGGGCUUGAAGGCCAUUCGCUUGAUUGAUCAUAAACGACUAAGAGGCAUUGGGAGAGGAACAAUAACUUACUGCUUGUGUUAUAGUAAUGGGAGCAUCCAAGCUUGUACAAACCCUCGUCUCAAGCACAUGGAGGAGGAACUACUUAGUUCGAACCAAAUCUAUUUCUUAUUAAGGAUCAGCUGUAAUAUUGGUUUCCCCAAUGGAUACAUUGAUUUCUCAUUAAGGAGACAAUUCAAAUCGGAUAAUACAGGAGAGUCUGAAGCUCAUUCAUCAUCAAAAAUUCUCUUUCACAAAAAUAUGGCUUUUAGCUACUCAAUUUGAGAUCCGGCAGUUUAAUCUCAAGGCUACACUACAGAUCCUACGCAAUGCAAUUGGAAAAACUCCUAAAGAUAAGGCAAGAUAGUGGUGUCCUUGGCCAUUACCGAGGCAGCUUAUACGCCCAUGUUGCACUCUCGCAUUUUUACUGAGACUAAAAAAGUACUGUGACCAGGAAUUUACCACUUGCAAGGAGGAUCGGCCAUUGUUUGUCCAAUUUUGUGCAAAUGAUCCAGACAUUUGUUAGAGGCUGCAAAGAGAGUGGAACCUUUUUGUGACUAUGUUGACAUCAAUUUGGGGCUCUCGCUUGAUGAACGGUUCAUGAACUUACUCUUCUGUCUCUCAAGAUUUUGCUUUUCUGGGUGGUUGUUCCUAGGCCGGAUUUUGGCCCCGAUAGCGAGUUUGAUUAAACUAGUGGCCCUGUAAAGUUUGUUCUUACAUAUGAAAUAAUGGCUCAUGUAUGUUUCUUCCUUUUUCCUUCCUCAGUUCUUCCAUCUGUUUUCCUUUUUAGUUGCACUGUUUUUGGAUUUUGGAAUAUUUCUAUUUUAUUUUAUAAUACAAUUAUCACUUUCCCAAGUUAUAUUUAAUGGAUCAUUUGAUCACAUGAAUAUUGAUGCUACCAGGUACCAUCACUAUAUGAGUAAUUUCUCUUGUUGGCGCUACUUAGUUAUGUUCUUGAGUUCCACUGUAUGGGUCAGCUUAUAUUUUCUUAAAUGACUAUAAUUUAUUGCUGUUUUGUUCCUUGGUUAACUGUGCUGUUAGUUAUACUCAGUUAUCAUAAAUAUUUAGUUUCUUCGAAA